AUUCCUUUUUCUCUCUCCGUAAACCUAACUUCAUCGCGAAACAACAAACUCCUCUCCGACUCUCCACAUUUGGUCGCGAAACGGAUGCUGCUCCAUUUCAAUUGACUUCCAUUCCUAGUAACGUUUCUGAGUUUUUUCAAUUAUGUAUCACUCUUUAUCGAUCACACUCUUUGUUGAUCGCUAGCUGUGUUGCUGCUGUUGCUGCUGUUACUGCUGUUGCGGCUUGAAAUUCGAUGGAUGUGUUGCUAUUGUGGUCUAUGCAUUUAUAUCAUCACUACUUCUCCUGGGGCAGAGCUACACAAGGGGCCAGGUAAAUUUUUUUGUUUAUAAGGAUGUUGAAUCUUCUUGGUAGGUUUAGUCUUGCUUGAGGGAGUUCAUGAGGAGCGAAGUUAUGUGCAUCAUUAAGGAUGAUUUUUACAGACACGCUCAGAUCCUAUGGGACGGAUUUUGAGUCGAUUAGAGGCUUUUGGCGAGUUUAAGAUGGUAUAUUUGGGGAUAAAGUUAUUCUGGGGAUCCAAUUGAAAGGCCCUUUCUUGUGAAUGAGUUGAAACAACAACACCUUCUUCAUGAUCGAAGUAAAGUGUAUAAGGUAUAUGCUUUUAAUCUAUAUUAUUUUAUUACAAUAAUGUGAUUAGGGUAAAUGUCAUUUACUCAACUUUAAUCGCAUGAUUCACUAUACUGAAGUGGGAAUCUAAUAUUUACUGGUUUUCUAACAUUUUCUGCACUUAUAUUCAUCAAUUGAUUUAGUUACUGACCUAGAUUCUCUACAUCCACACCUCGAUGGAUUUACUAUGUUCUCUUAUUACACAAAACUAUAAUUUGAUUACAAUGUUGCAUAGAUGUUCAUGUUAUUUAAUUUUAUUGUGGAUAUACUUGGAGAGGGAGAGAUGCAAUGUAUGAUUAAGGAUCUGGAUACAGAGCUUCGAAAGCUAAAUUGCAGAAUGACGGGUGGAUUCAUAAAGUUGGUGCUUACCGAGCAGAAAAAUCCUUCUCUUUGUAAAUUUGCAUCAUUUUUAUCCUACUGUUUACUUCUCCUUUGUAUUCUCUUCUCCGGUAAGGCAUGCCCAAGGUUCCAUAAUGUAGCAGGAGGAAAAGAACAUAGUGUAUACAUGCCAAAAGAGUUUUUUAUGCAAAGUUCACACAUCUUGGCUCAGCAGGUACUAAAUUUAGUCAAUAAUUCAUGCCAGAUUAUCUCAUGUAAAUAUAUACCCAAAUUUACAAAACAUAUAUAUUCCCAGCAAGGUUAUUUUGAAAUAACCAGUUGGUUAUUCAAAUAACCCAAGAUCGAACAAGCCUUUGCAGAUCCACGCUAGGGUGAUUUUCAAGUUUAUCAUGCGUUCCAUAUUAUAACAGAAUUACAAUAAAAUUGAUUAGCUAUGUUGUGCUGCAUUUCAGUCUGUUUUCUUAUCUGAAUCGAUAAGCUAGCCAACAAGUAGUCAAUCGGCAGAGAAAAGUUUCAAAUAUGUCAUCCUAGCCAGUAACGCUAGUGGUUAUGUUGCUAGAGAGUUCUACACACAGGGUGUAGAACAGGCGAGUUUGCAAUUAUUUCUGAAGAAGCGAAAAAUCUAACAUACAACUUCCAUUGGAACAUGAAAGACUAGGUUUACUGGGAUUGGUGUUGGAGCUACUUAUGCAGGCAACAUACCAUUCAGCUGCAAUGCAAAAUCUAAUUGUCAUCUAAUUGUCUGGUGGUCAAAUAUCAAUUCCAAUUGUGUUAAGAGAUGCUGUGGAGUUGGUGAAAAAAAAAAUGGGAUGUACAAAAUUGUUUUUUAAACUAUUAGAACAUUUGUAAUAUGUUAGUUAAUGUUUUUUAUUUAACUAUUAAUAUGAUUUUAUGAGAUAAUAUUGUUGAGAUUAUUUA